rnacentral:lncRNA from 1 species
CAACUGCUUCCUUUAAACGCGUUUUGGUUUUAAUUAUAAGGGAGUCUAUAUGGAUUGAUUAAAAACAAAGUAAUAACAAAAUAAAACCAACUUUAAAUUAGUCACACUAUGCUUCAUGUUUUGUUUAAGGGGCUGGAGAGAUGACUCAGUGGUUUGAAGCACUUGGUGCUCUUGUAAAGGACCUGGGCUUGAUUCCCAGUGUUCACAUGGUUCACAAUCACCCAUAACUCCAGUUCCAAGUACUCUCUUCUGACCUCCACAGGGACCAAGAACAUACAUGGCACCAACAUCCAUGCAGGCAGAAUAUUCACACACAUAAAAUAAACAAUUUCAUGGUGAGGAGGUCCAUGGAUGUCUUCUACUUUCUGUUGUCCCCACUGAGGAACACAAAAAUCCAAUUGCAUUUGGAUGUACAGAUGUCUCUUGAAGUAACAUGUCAUCCAGAGUCCACUCCCCAUUGGAUGAGUCAUUCACUGGUCUUCCAACAAAACAGAUGGUGAGCAGUGGAGAAGUCAGGGAAAGUGAAGAAAAUGAAAGAGGGAGAAAAAUGGUGUUUCUCACCAAACCCAUGAUAGACCCAGAAGUCAUCCAGCGUCUAAAAUCUUGGAAUAACUCCAUGGAUCAUGAAACCAAGGAAGACUGUGGGAGAAAGAGCAUAUGUCAAUGUAGAAUUUGGCCUCACAAGCUAGAAGACAAAGUGCUGGUCAGGACAUAGAGACUGAUAAUAAAAAUUCCUACUUUUAAUUUUUUAAAGCAGAUUAUGCGUUAUGUUUUCUGAAAUGACUUGCCAGAUAAUGUUUCAGGAGGAAGUUUGAAUAAAAUAUUCCAG